CGCUGGCGGCGUGCUUAACACAUGCAAGUCGAACGAAGCUUGAUGAUUGAUCUCUUCGGAGUGAUUCUGAUAUGACUGAGUGGCGGACGGGUGAGUAACGCGUGAGGAACCUGCCUUUCAGAGGGGGACAACAUUUGGAAACGAAUGCUAAUACCGCAUGAUAUUACCGAGUGGCAUCGCUUGGUAAUCAAAGAUUUAUCGCUGAAAGAUGGCCUCGCGUCCAAUUAGCUUGUUGGCGGGGUAACGGCCCACCAAGGCGACGAUUGGUAGCCGGACUGAGAGGUUGAUCGGCCACAUUGGGACUGAGACACGGCCCAGACUCCUACGGGAGGCAGCAGUGGGGAAUAUUGCACAAUGGGCGCAAGCCUGAUGCAAGCAACGCCGCGUGGAGGAAGACGGUUUUCGGAUUGUAAACUCCUGUUCUUAGUGACGAAGAAGUGACGGUAGCUAAGGAGCAAGCCACGGCUAACUACGUGCCAGCAGCUGC
rnacentral:rRNA from 1 species